UACGUAGGGUGCGAGCGUUGUCCGGAAUUACUGGGCGUAAAGAGCUCGUAGGUGGUUUGUCGCGUUGUCCGUGAAAACUCACAACUCAAUUGUGGGCGUGUGGGCGAUACGGGCAGACUGGAGUACUGCAGGGGAGACUGGAAUUCCUGGUGGUAGCGGUGGGAAUGCGCAGAUAUCAGGAAGAACACCCCGUGGCGAAGGCGGUUCUCUGGGACGGUACUGACGCUGAGACGCGAAAGCGUGGGGAGCAAACAGG
rnacentral:rRNA from 1 species